CACGCGCCUGGAGCGGGCUGAGGCCGGCUCGCGCUCCGAGCGCGAGGUGAUGCUGGUCGAGGCGCGUUCCGAGCGCGAGCGCCUGC
rnacentral:tRNA from 2 species